CGCGUAGGCGGUUUGGCAAGUCUGACGUGAAAUGUACCGGUUCAACCGGGGCGCCGUGUCAGAAACUGCCUGACUUGAGGUCGAGGGAGGAGAGUGGAAUUCCUGGUGUAGCGGUGAAAUGCGUAGAUAUCAGGAGGAACACCCGUGGCGAAGGCGACUCUCUAUCUCGAUUCUGACGCUGAGGCGCGAAAGCUAGGGGAGCAAACAGGAUUAGAUACCCUGGUAGUCC
rnacentral:rRNA from 1 species